CAGUAGCCGCGGUAAUACGUAGGUGGCAAGCGUUACCCGGAUUUACUGGGCGUAAAGGGCGUGUAGGCGGCCUGGGGCGUCCCAUGUGAAAGGCCACGGCUCAACCGUGGAGGAGCGUGGGAUACGCUCAGGCUAGAGGGUGGGAGAGGGUGGUGGAAUUCCCGGAGUAGCGGUGAAAUGCGCAGAUACCGGGAGGAACGCCGAUGGCGAAGGCAGCCACCUGGUCCACUUCUGACGCUGAGGCGCGAAAGCGUGGGGAGCAAACCGGAUUAGAUACCCCAGUAGUCCCUGUCUCUUAUAC
rnacentral:rRNA from 1 species